CCUGGUUCGGAUCGAUUUUGGACAGAGUGAAAUUGGAAAAGUAAUCAGACGUUCAGUGUAUUAUCUCACCAGACAUUUUUAAAUAAAAAAUAAAAUGAAAUUGUUGAUUGUCCUAAUUUUUGCGGCUGUUAUCGUAGCAGCAAUGGCCCAUGAUCGUGAUAACGAUAAAGGACAUGAUUCACAUGACCAUGGCCACGAUUCUCAUGAACAUGGACAUGAUUCAAAACAUGACUCACAUGAACGAGGCGGACCAUCAUCAUCACACCACGAUUCACACGGACCAUCACCCGGCAUUCAACAGAAGAAUGAUCGCCACGACAGUCACGAGAACCACGGUGGACAUCACUACUAAUCCUAUCAUUGCUGAAACGAAUAUUUGAAACAGGACUUUCCAUUUUGUGUUGCUAGUUAGUAACAUUUGAACUUUAAAAUUUCUCUUCGAAAUAAAUAAAUAAUUGCAAGUGCACCGAGAGUUAAAUAUUCUUUUAGAUUGUGGACUGUCAAACCUUGUACAACAU